rnacentral:lncRNA from 1 species
UUUUUUGUAAAAGAUAUUAUGUAUGGAGAAUUACAUAGAAGGUAUACCUCCCUUUUUCCAAAGUCCGAUAUUUGUUUCCUUUCUGUUAAAUUCAAUUAUAUUCGUGUUUCUGGCCUACGACCACAAUUAUUCUUCUCCUUUGCUACAAUGCUUCUUUUGGUAAAAGUCAAAUCAAAUUAAAAAUUUGCACCGUUUCAAACAUGAAAUAAAUGUAACUGCUUAUAUAUAGACCAUUAUUAGUCUAAAAAAUAUGCUUCUAUGACAAUUCAUCAGUGCUUUUUUUUUGAGAGCCUUAUUAACAUGCCAAUUGUAGGAUUUGAAUCAUGUAUAAAUGACUAAUACCGACUAAGGCUAAUUUGAGGGGUUGUCAAUCGGAGGGGUCCUGAUCCCGAAAUCCAGGGCUUAAAACCAUGAAACUGAGAUGCAGAAUUUAAAGAAAUUCAUAUCCCGAAAUCGAAAAAUAUAUUCCCGGAUCCCGUAAGGAUCAAUCCCCAAAUCCCGAGCUUAAAAACACCCGAUCCCGACGCCCCGAAAAAAAGGUCCUGCCUC